rnacentral:rRNA from 1 species
GGUUAAGCGACUAAGCGUACACGGUGGAUGCCCUGGCAGUCAGAGGCGAUGAAGGGCGUGCUAAUCUGCGAUAAGCGCCGGUAAGGUGAUAUGAACCGUUAUAACCGGCGAUACCCGAAUGGGGAAACCCAGUGUGAUUCGUCACACUAUCAUUAACUGAAUCCAUAGGUUAAUGAGGCGAACCGGGGGAACUGAAACAUCUAAGUACCCCGAGGAAAAGAAAUCAACCGAGAUUCCCCCAGUAGCGGCGAGCGAACGGGGAGGAGCCCAGAGCCUGAAUCAGCAUGUGUGUUAGUGGAAGUGUCUGGAAAGGCGCGCGAUACAGGGUGACAGCCCCGUACACAAAAGCGCAUGUGCUGUGAGCUCGAUGAGUAGGGCGGGACACGUGGUAUCCUGUCUGAAUAUGGGGGGACCAUCCUCCAAGGCUAAAUACUCCUGACUGACCGAUAGUGAACCAGUACCGUGAGGGAAAGGCGAAAAGAACCCCGGCGAGGGGAGUGAAAAAGAACCUGAAACCGUGUACGUACAAGCAGUGGGAGCCCCACCACCAAAGCAUUCUCUGGUGUUGAAGGCCCUGCAAAGCAGCAUCGCGGUGGCGGAGCGUCGUUUGCGACGCCCAACACACAAAACAAGCGGUGAGUGCUUUGGGGUGGGGUGACUGCGUACCUUUUGUAUAAUGGGUCAGCGACUUAUAUUCUGUAGCA